rnacentral:pre_miRNA from 1 species
AAUAUACUCCUCCGUCCAGAAUUACUUGUCGUGAAAAUGGAUGUAUGUAGACGUUUUUUAGUUCUAGAUACAUUUAAUUUUAUCUAUUUUUGCGACAAGUAAUUUGAGACAGAGCGGGUAGGUC